AUCGAAGCCAUUUGCACUGUUGAAGUGAAGAGCAUCUGCUUUUCGAUCAGUCCCUUCAUCGCGAAUAUUUCACUUUUCAUUUUUCUUGUUUCUUUUCUCUUGUUCCACCAGGUGUCCUUGCACUUUCUUGCUCCAUAUUGUGGGAGGUCCAAGCCCUGUUCAGAACUAGGGCUUGCCAUUCACCUGCUACCCAUUUUCCUGCGAGUUCCUCGGGGCUAGGAGAAAAGUUUGAGUUCUGUAAUGGGAAAGCAUUCAAAGACCAGUUGCAAGUCGGCUUCCCACAAGCUAUUUAAGGAUAAGGCAAAGAACCGGGUUGAUG
rnacentral:misc_RNA from 1 species